rnacentral:rRNA from 1 species
AAGGAUCAAGUUAUAGAAGAAUGGCAUAAAAAAGGUGGUUAAGUAAAAUAUUGAUAAAUAAACCAAGUUAUAAGGUAAAAUUUUGAUCAGGUGUUUUUAGUCUAAAGCUGAUCCCACGAAAAUCUCUAGCUAAACCAGGAUUAGAUACCCUGCUAUAGUUGAAAGUAAAUUUAAUGUGUUUGCCGGAGUAGUAUAAGAAUGCUUUAAACUCAAAAAGCUUGGCGGUGCUUUAGAUCAUUUUAGGGGAACUUGUCUCGUAAUCGAUAAUCCACGUUGGAUCAAACUUUAUCUUGUAGUCAGCUUGUAUACCGUUGUCGACAGUUAAUUUUUAAAAACUUAGCUAAAAAAUUUUGAUAAAUUUACACGUCAAAUCAAGGUGCAGUCUAUGUUAAAGUGAGGAUGAGUUACAAUUAACAUUUAUAAUACGAAUACCUUUUUGAAAAUCAGGUAGAAGGUGGACUUAAAAGUAAAUUUAAAUUAAAUAAAUUGCUUGAAUUUGCUCUGAAGCGUGC